UACGUAGGGGGCGAGCGUUGUCCGGAUUUAUUGGGCGUAAAGGGCGCGUAGGCGGCUUGACAAGUCAAAGGUGAAAUCCCUCGGCUCAACUGAGGAACUGCCUUUGAAACUGUCUGGCUUGAGGCCGGGAGGGGGUAGCGGAAUUCCCAGUGUAGCGGUGAAAUGCGUAGAUAUUGGGAGGAACACCAGUGGCGAAGGCGGCUACCUGGACCGGUUCUGACGCUGAUGCGCGAAAGCGUGGGUAGCAAACAGG
rnacentral:rRNA from 1 species